rnacentral:tRNA from 2 species
UGCGGGGUGGAGCAGUGGUAGCUCGUCAGGCUCAUAACCUGAAGGCCAAUGGUUCGAUUCCAUUCCCCGCUACCA